rnacentral:lncRNA from 1 species
GCGUGAGCCACCAUGCCUGGCCUAAUUACUGUAGGUUUCUAAUAAGCCUUUAAGUAAAAUAAUGUCAGUCCUUCAAAUUUGUUCUCCUUCAAUAUUGCAUUUCUGUUCUGGUACUUUUACUUGUAUGUUAACUUUAGAAUCAGCUUAUUGAUAUCCACAAAAUAACUUGCUGGAAUUUUUAUUUGGAUUGUUUUGAAUCUAAAAUUCAAAUUAGAAAAAAGUGACAUACUGAAAACAUUGAGUUUUUCUAUCCACUAACAUGAAAUGCCUCUCCAUUUAAUUUUUCUUUAGUUUUUAAAAUCAGAGUUCUGUAAAUUUUCUCACAUAGACUUUGCACACAUUUUUAGAUUUAUAUUAAGUACUUCAUUUUGAGAGAGCAGGUAUUUUCAAUGGUAAUGUGUUUUUAAUUUCAAAUCCCAUUUGUUUAUUAUUGUUAUAUAGGAAAGCAGUUGACUAAUUUUUAUUGUGGUAAUAAAACACAUAACAUUACAUUAUUAAAUGUAUUUUGUUAAUAUUUUUAGUAUAUAGUUCAAUAGUGUUUAUUAUUACAUGGUUGCAUAGCAAAUUGCUACAACUUUUUCAUCUUACAAAACUGAAACUCUAUACCCACUAAAUACUAAUUCCUCUUACACCCUCCAUCACCCAGUUCCCACUCAUGACAAAAACCUUUCCACUUUCUGCCUCUGUGAUCUUUAUUUCUUUCAAUACUUCAUAUGAAUGGAAUCAUUCAGUACUUGACUUUUUGUGACUGGCUUAUUUCACUUAGCAUAACGUUCUGGAGGUUCAUCCAUAUGGUAGUAUGUGACAGAAUUUUUUUCUUUUUUAGGGCUGAAUAACAUAACUUUGUGUGUAUAUAUCAUGUUUCUUCAUCUAUUCAUCUGUCAGUGAACAUUUGGGUUGCUUCUACCUCUUGGCCAUUGUGAAUAAUGCUGAGAUGAACAUGAGUGUGCAAAUAUUUCUGUGAGAUCCUACUUUAAAUUCUUUUGGAUAUAUGACUAGAAGUGGGAUUUCCAUAUCACAUGCUAAUUCCAUUUUCUAAUUUUUUGAGGAAACUUCAUAUUCUUUUCAUAGUACUUGAAUUAAUUUAAAUUCCCACCAACAGUGUGCAAGUGUUUCAAUUUCUCCACGUUUUAACACUUGUAAUUUUCUGUAAUUUUUAUACUGACAAUUUAUUUCUAAAAUUGGUAUUUUCUUAAUUUCUUUUGCUGAUUGGUCUUUGUUAGUGUACAGAAACACUUAAUAUUUCGUCUGUUAAUUUUGUAUCCUGAAACAUUGCUGAAAUUGUUUGUUGUAACAGUUUUUCGUGGAUUUUUUUUAGGUUUUUCUACAUACUAAAUUAUAUCAUCUGCACACAGAUAUAAUUUUACAUUUCCUUGUCCAAUUUGUAUGCUUUUUAUUUAUUUUCCUUUUUCUUUAUUUUUCUUCUCUGCAUAGGAUUGAUAGUUUGCAAUGUUUUUAUCAUGAAUAGUGUGGAUUUUGUGAAAUGGUUUUUCUGUGUCUAUUAAUAUGAUCAUAUGAUUUUUUUUCUUUGGCCUGUUGAUGUGAUGAAUUAAAUGAAUUCGUUUUCAAAUGUUGAAAUUUCCUCGCAUACCUGAGAAAAAUUCCAUUUGGUCAUGGUUUUCAAUUAUGUAUACAUUAUUAGAUUUGAUUUACUAAAAUGUUGUUGACAAUUUUGCAUCUAUGUACGGGAGAUAUUAGUCUCUAAUUUCCUUUUUUUAAGAAUGUCUUCAUCUGAUUUUGGUAUUACGGUGAUCCUCUUCUUAUAGAAUGGGUUAAGAAGUGCUCUCUCUGCUUUUAUCUUCUGAACAAGAUUGCAGAGAAUUAGUAAAAUUUCUUCCCUAAAUGUUUCCUGGAAUGCACCUGUGAAUCCGUAUGAGCCUGGUGAUUUCUGUUUUGAAGGGCAUUUAUUAUUGAUUCUAUUUCAUUAGUAGAUAUAGGCUAUCCAGAGUGUCUACUUCUUUUUGUGUCACUUUUGGUAGAUUGUGUCUUUCAGGGAAUAGGUAGAUGUCAUCUAGGUUAACGAAUGUGUUGACACAGUACAGCUAUUUCAAAUAUUCUUUUAUUAUCUUUUUAAUAUCCAUGAGAUCUUCAGUAAUAUACCCUCUUUCAUUUAUGAUAUUGGUAAUUGCUCCCUUCUCUUUUUAUCUUAGUUAGCCUGGCUAGAGAUUUAUUAAUUUUAUUGAUCUUAAUGAAUCAGACUUUAGUGUCAUUGAUUUUCUCUAUUGAUUUUUUAAUUUUCAUUUUUAUUGAUUUCUGAUCUACAGUUUAUUAUGUCUUUCAUUCUGCAUACUUUAGAUCUAAUUUGUUCUUUUUCUUUCCAGUUUUCUACGGUGUAACCUUAGACUGUUAAUUUAAGAUCAUUCUUCUUUUAUAAAUUCUUCUUUUAUAAAUCUACAAAUUCCCUCUAAGUAUGCUUUUGUUAUUUCCCAUGAAUUUAGUUGUGUUUUCAUUUUGAUUUAAUUCAAAAUAUGUAUUAAUUUGUCCUGAGAUUUCUUCUUUGACUCAUGUGUUAUUUAGAAGUGUGUUGCUUAAUCUCUAAGUAUUUUGGAAUUUUCCAACUAUCAUUUUUAUUGAUUUCUAGUUUAAUUCCAUUGUGAUUUCAGAGUAGGCAUUGAAUAAUUUAUAUUAUUUUAAUUCUGUGAAGCUGUUUCCAUGGUCCAGAAUAUGGUCUAUUUUGAUGAUUAUUUAAUGUGACCUUGAGAAUAAUAUGUAUUCUACUGUGUUAGAUAAAGUAGUCUACAGAUAUCAAUUUUAUCGAGUUGGUUUAUCAUGCUAUUGAGUUCAACCAUGUUGUUACUGAAAGUCUGACUAUGUUACACCUUUUAAAGUUGUCUAUGGUUCUUAGAUACUUUGUUCUUUUUUUCUUCUUUGCUUUUCAAUUUUGGAAGUUCCUACUGACAUCUUCAAGUUCAGAGAUUCCUUCCUCACUCAUGUUCAGUGUACUAAUGCCCAUCAAAGGCUUUCUUUGUUUCUGUGUUUUUUAUCUCUAGCCGUUUUUUAAAAUUCUUUCUUAGAGUUUUCAUUUCUCUUUCUGCACUAUUUAUCUGUUAUCACGUUGUCUACUUUGUACAUUAGAGCCCUUAUUAAUCUUAGUAUUUUUAAAUUGAUGGUCUGAUAAUUCCGACAUCCCUGCCAUUUUUGAGACUGGUUCUGAAUCUUGCUCUUUCUUUAAACUGUGUUUAAAUUGCCUUGCAAUUUUUUUCUGGAUAUCCUGACAUGAAGGAGGGCACAGGGAACUGCAGUAAAUAAGUCUUUAGGGAUGUGGUGGUGAAGUGGAGAGAAGGGGCUGUUUUGUAGUCCUAUAAUUAACUUGCAGUCUUUUUAGUGAGCCUAUGCCCCUGAACCAUAAAAUUCAUCAGUGCUUCUCAGUCCUCCUCCCACUCAAAAGUAGGACCAGAUGGCUGAGGCGGAGGGGGUGGCUAGAGUUGUGUAUUUCCCUUCUCUCAUUUGAAAGGCUAGAACAGGCUGAAUUUGACUAUUUCCUUUCACCCAUGUGAAAGCUAGAGAGGGCUGGAUUUGCUUUAUGUACUUCCUCAGGUCAGCUGGGCUCUGAUAAAAUCGCAAUAGGUUACGCUCUGGUGAAAUAUUUUCUCUUGAGGGCAGGCCUCGUUAAGAAGAAUAGAAUGCUCUGGGGUAUUUAAAAGUGAGUACAUUUUUACCAUGCUGGAAACACCAGGGAAUUUUCUCGCAUCUGCACUGUAAAAACCUGAUAGAGAGCUCUAAGAAGUAAAGCUCACAAAAGUGUCAGGGCCCUCCUAUUACUUGGUUCCAUAGAGUUUUCAACUCUCCAACUUUUCCAAUCUAAGCCUCCAGCAACUCAUCAAUUACAGUUCAGUUUUCCCUACUAUGUCAUUGGUUUCUAAGGAUGUUUUUGAUUAUGGGUUUCUGUCCUGGUAAGUUGUAAUUUUUUGCAUCCACUUGUCUGUCUCUCCAUUUUGGGGUUUAGUGGUUUGCCCUGUGACCUCAUUUCUGUGAUGACUCUAAGAAGAGUUGUUGCUUUUACGGUUUGUUCCGUUUUUUACUUACUGUUAGAACAAAGACUUUCAAAUUUCCUACAUGCUAAACUGAAAACUAGAAGUCCAUAUUGUUAUUUGAAAGGAAAAAAAAAAUUUCAUAUCCAAGUAGGAGAAUAAAACUUUGAAAGCAAUUCUGAAUCCAAUUCUACAGUGUACUAUUGGCUUCUCUCAGUUCAGACUAGAACCUUUUUCAUGAAAUUUUUUAUUUCACUGGUUUUCUUUUCCAUUUCCAUGACCUCCACAAGGCACCUUGUUUUUGCUGGGUUCUAUUACCUGUUAUUGCCUCUUCACUUCUUGAGUGAACAGGGUAGACUUCAGUCGCCUGCUUAAAUAUUAAUUUCUCCAGUCUUUGAGCCAGUUUACAUAUUGAUGCAUCUUGCCCUCUCUACCAUUAUGAAGAUACCUGAAAUUACUGUGAGCUUGCUGAAAAUUUCAGCUUAAAAUAAUUUUUCUUUAGCAAUUGCCUGUUUUUCUGAGUUAGAAUGAACAGCAUGAAUCUUUGAAAUUGAAGAACAUGACAUGCAUACUUUAUAGUGUUUUGGUAAAGCUCUCUAACUCAUCUUCAUUUUGUCUACAUGACAGGCUUUUACCUUGAAAAGAUGUCCACAAACUCUGCUUGUUCACAAAAAUUCAGUAAAAUCUUGACAUCAAGUUUAUUUCUUUCUAUAUACAGAAGAGUAAGUUUCAGAAAAAGAAAAGUUAAAGAAAAGGCACGUAAAGCCGUAAUCUCUUAUCUUUUCUAAGAUGGUGGUAUCAGAAUGCAUUACCCUCCUUCUGAAAAGUCAUGAUAUCCUAAAACUGCAUGAAUACACUUUAGAAAAACGCUGCAGUUCUCGAUAGCUGCUUGCCUUGUGUCUAGAAUGUAACAGUAUGCUGCCUGUUUACCUCAGGCCAAAGUUGUCAUUUUCACUAUCUGGGCCACUACAUUUCCUCUGGCUAGAGGCCUGUCUUGUAUGUACUAGGGACUUCUGUUAAUGCUGGUGUGUGCAGUUACUCUACACUGAAUUGGAUUUUUGUCAUCUAUUUGAGGAUUACAUGCAUGAUAUGCCUAGUCAUUUUUUUCUUCAUUAUGUUACACCAAAUCUGAACUGAAAACCCUCCACAUUGUAAUGUGUGAGGCCCAAUUAUUCAGAUAGCAAACAGCAAUUAUAUAUAGAUGUAGGUAUUGAUAAGGAAAUGUAAAAUUCAGGGAACUUUCAGGCUAGGUCACAAAUUAAUAAAUUCCAGGGAAUUCAAGAUCAAUGAGAGAUUAAUAUUUACAUGAAUAGUAUUGUUUUUUGGAAACAAACAUGUUUCACCUUGAUUUAUGUUGCUAAAAUGUGCCUAUGGACUUGAAGAUUAUACAAUGGCUAAGUUGAGUUAGGUGAAGCACCAUGCAUUUGGCAAAGUGUGCUCAUUAACGUCCUCAUCCUGAAUUGCUUGUAACACUGUCACUCUCUGGAUAAGUAAAUGGAAGCACAGGCAGGCAAGCAAUGGCUAAGAAGCAGGAUGCCCAUGUCAAACUCUCUCCCUCAAAGUAAAGGGGAAGCAAGUGGUUUAAGUAAGGAGUCCAAAUGAAGACAGAUUUACUUAAGUGUAAAAUGUGAAUUCUGAACUAGAUGAACAUAAAGCCCUGUUCAGCUUUGUGAAUCUACGUUUCUAUGAUUAUCUUGAGUUAUUAAAAGUAAAUUAUGGUAGAUCAUAAUUAAUAAAGGGCCAUCUGUAACACGAAAUCCUCCUUUUUAAUUGGGCUGGGUGAGUUGCCCAAGAUAUUUAUUUUAGGGGAGAUAGGAGAUGUGGAAGAAACUGAAAACUGCUCUAUCCCCUCUCCAGGCACAGUUUCUCAAACUUAGCUGCAAAUAAAAAAUAGAAGGCCUGAUUUUAUUCAGUGCUAAAUUAGGGUGUUGAUAUAAGAUUAGGUGACUAGUAAUGCAAAAGUGUGAAUAAAGUAAAAGACCUUCCUAAUUGUAUGAUUUACAAUAUUUAACAAUCAAAUUACCAGCAAGUAAUUUUUCUGGAGGAGAUUAAAAGCUAAUUCUAUUUGCCAUUACUGAAUGAGUGCUGAUACAGGCCAACCACUAUUUUAAUAUUUUACAAGACUUACUUAUUUAAUCUUCAUAACAAUCUGAUAGAAUAGACAUAAUUAUUAUUCCCAUUUUAUAAAUGAGCAAAGUUUUGCCCAGAAAGAUAACAUUACCAAGAUCGCACAAGCAGAAGUGAGAGAGUCAGGUAUUACAAGCAGAUGCAUUGCUUAAAUAUUAGCUCCUCACUUCUGACAGUUGAUCUGAUACCCUUUGGAUGGCCUAGCAUCUGGUGGACCAGGCAUAUCAAUUCAGCGAGUGCGGUUUUCUGCCUAGAUAUUGUCUGUAGUGUAGAGGAGAAGACAAACUUGCCUGGAGGCUUUCUUCUAGAAUCAGUAGCAAUUUCUUAUCCACAAAAAAGAGAGACUACUCAUUCCUGGCCAUGGAGAUGAGAAAGUGUGCAUCUUAGCCUCUACCACUGACAGUAAAAGAUAACCCGAUAUCCAGAAACAUGAGAAAAACAACCUUGAGCAUAUUCCAUCAUAAACAUUUCACUGCCUUUAAUUUGAAACUUUUUAAGCUACUUGAGUAUUGUCAUCACCCUUUCAACCCCACUUCCUCCACCUUAGUGGGAACUACAUAGUCUAGCAUGGCAUAAAAAUCAAGUUUUAAUAGCAGGUAGAAUUGCAGAUUCCAGAUUUGCCCAUCAACUUGCCAGAGCUGCUGAAUAGUUUAUGACUCACACUGAGUUACACAUCUUGGCCACCGCUUUAUAUAUUCUAAUCUUGAAUCUAUUAACAUUCUCUUUUUCUGGACUGGCCUAAAAUGCCUGCCAUCUGAAUUAUAUUUUUAGGUUCAACAGCAAAGUUUUACUCUGUUAAAAAAAUACUUAUUGAGAACCCAUGGCUUGUGUAAAACAAUGCUUAAUGAAAAGGUAUAUAGAGAUAAAUAACUACAUUUAAGUUCUCAGUGAAUUUACAGUACAAUGUCUUAUCUCCACUCUACCACUGUUAACACACAUCCAUUAUUUGGGGACAAUAACAACAGCAGCCACAACACAACAGUAACUGUUAAGUAUGUAUUAAGAAUUUACUAUGAGCUAGAUAUUAUUACAAAUAUUUUGCAAAAUUUAUCUUGAUAAAUUUUCAUAAUAACCAAAUAAAUAUGUUGUAUUACCCUGAUUUUAUAAAUGAGGCAUCAGAAAGAUGUGGCUAUAAGUAAAUAAAAUAAAUUUAAAUAAAUAAAAUUUAAAAUAAUAAAUGAGGAAACUCAGGAACAGAAAAAUUGGAUAAUUUGGCCAAGAUCACCAGCCCAAACUCCUAAACACUGAGGAAAAUAGUAGCAUGGCCAGGGAGAGAGGAGUAUGUUUUCAUAAUCUUAGAAUCACGUAGAAACCAAGAUUCAGUUUUUAAAUAUGAGAACGCUCACUUUGGAAAUUCUAAGAGAGUGGUGUGGAGGGCUAGAGAUAUAGCGUAACCAUGUCUUAGCUAAGUAAAGGGGUUAGUUCAGACUUGAGUAUCAUGAAAGGAAUAAACUGCAAGGUGCACUGAAGACUUGCCUGUGUGGGCAAGUGGAAUGAGCACGUAGCUAGUUUUUUGGACAGUCCAAGGCACCUUGGGAGCAAUUGACAAAGAUUACUUUUCUAUACACACCUAAUGUUUUAGCUUAUUUGUAAUGCUGUCUUUUAACAUUUCUCCUGUACUGCCUCUCGGGACUACAUUUUAAAAUUUAGAAAAUAAAAUAAAUCACUAUUCACAAUGAACAGCCCUAUAAAAUCCACUCUUUGAGUUCACUUUUUCCUCUGAUUGUUCUUGCUGACCUUGGGAUACUCUUACAUGACUAGUUUUGAGUUUGAUGGUUGGGUCCGUAAAUGCACCACGAAGUCAGUUCUUGCACAUUGUACACAUUUUCAAAUAAAAUGUUCAGCUCUGCUUGGCAGUGCUGUUGUUUCUGGUGUGCUUAUCUCCUUCAGCAAGAAACAGGUGAGUUUGCAUUUACCCCUAUGUCAGGAAUUACAUGUGGAUGUUUGAGAUAAAUGGCACCAUAGCUUUGAUCUCCACCUCCUUCCAGUGGCAGACUGAGCAACUGGCUAACCUCUAUCUGCACCCGGUUCCUUACCCUGUGAAUUUCUAACAAACACUAAAGCCUUAUUUUAUAGAGGUUCAUGUGCUCUACUUUGUACAACAUAUGUGGCAAAUAGUUUUUUGUUUUACUAAUAACUUUACUCAACUUAUUAGUUUUAAGUAGAUGGAAAGCAACAUGUCAAUCAUGUGGAAAUAGUCAUGUGAUUUGAUAAGUCAACCAGUCAUGUUGACCUGCUGAAUCAUUUUUUUAGGAUAUUUUAUUAAAUUAUAGUACAAGUGGUUCUCAUUUUUCCACUGUUUUUAAUCAGGUCAAACCCCAAAAUCUUUUAAGAAACAUAAAAAAUAAGUAUACACAUUUAAUUAUCAUUUUAUGUCACCUGAGACCUGCAAUUUUUUAAAUUUCCCAGUAUUCAUUGAAUGUGUCACCAUGGAAUCAGAGAAAAUUAUUAAAUUAAGCAUCUUAUUAGUUACAAAUGUGUCUAGAAUUCACGGCAAAUAUAAUUUUAGGUUUGAAAUCACAGUGAUGCUGAAGACAGCAUUAUUCCUCCUUCACCUUCAUCUGAAAAUAGAUUGCUUCAGGGAGUUUGAAGAAUAAAAUAUGGAAAAAUGUGUUGUGUCAAUUUCCACAAGAUAAGCAAGGAUAUUAAAUGUAGCCUGAUUUGAGUAAUAAAUCUUUUUUGUACUUAACAAAAUGCAUCUUCCUUGUUAGGAUCCUUCAAGUUUUCUUCUGGCCAUUUCCUAAAUCUACUUCUUAUAAUGUAUGAAUUGAGAAUGCUGAAAUCUCCAAAUAGACCAUUAAAAGACAUACAUUGAAAAUAAAUGGCCUUGAAAUAUUUGGAUUAAAACUUAAAUCUCCCAUAGUAAAUUAAAUUAUUCCUCCGAUCUUCACAUUGCUUUCGGUAAUUGAAUCUCAUAGAAUAGAAGUUGAUUGUGGCAAUAUAUGGGCAUUGGAACAAUAUGUAAAAAGCAAUAAAACUAAAAAUUAAUCCACCUUCAUAUUUGGAAGUCUGUAGAAACAGACAAGGAGUUCGCUAAGUCACAAAAAUUAACUCAAAUGAGUCAGAGACAAAUAUUAUGUUCCAAGAAUAAUACCACGAUGCAGAGGAAAAUAUAGAUAGAAACUCUGUCAGAAACAAACUUUUAAAUUCUUGUUAUUUACAGUGUUUCCUGUGAACUAAGAAUCAAAGAUGUAGUGUUUCUAAAUGUUCUCCAUCCCUCCAGAUACCAAUCUUCAGGACUGGGAACAAGAAAUUAGACAGAAAUUGGGAAUUUCUGCAACCAUGUUAUUCUGAAAAUACGCCCAAGAUUUCUCAGAUUCUUUACAAAUUGUUAUGAAUAUCUUUUUUCAAUGUCUAAUAAAUACAAAAUUUUGAGUGUAGUGGUAUUUACAAGGACCUGUAGUGUAGGGUGAAUAUUUAAAUACUGGAAAUCACCAGUAAUCCUUAUUGGGCAGUAUUUGCAUAAUGUAACAUUAGGAUCAUCUAAGCAAGUUAAACGGCUCUAACACAGUAUCACGUGUUUAACUCGCUAUAUUAAGGUCUUAUUUUGUUUCCUAAACUUGCAUUUUUGGUCACCUUAUGUGCAAGAAUUACUCAUUAGCUGAAGAUAGGACCAUAAACAUCUGCUUAUAACAUGGCAAGAGCUACAGGUAAGACUGAGGAAAUCAUGAUCAUUUCUCUCCUGCCAACUCACGAAAAUGGUCACUUUAACCUUAGACCUUGCAUGUCAGCUUUGCUUCCUCCAAACCAGUUAAGUCUCUGUUAAUAUUCAAGCUUUAAUGCUCGCAGAAUAAUCAUUGUCCUGAUUUCUCAACUAAUUUUUUCUUGACAUCAAAAAUUGAGAAAAAAAUACAAAUUUCCUAAAAAAUAGAAAAAUCUACAUGGAGAUAUUAAAAGAUAAUAUACAUUUUUUACAGUAUAACUCUGAUAUUAGGAUUGUUGGGAUUAUGGGUUUAGUUUUUAUUUAAUAUUAUUUGGUAAUAUUAUAUCAACUUUGCAAUAGUAAAGGCUUGCCCUUACUGAGAUACUCUUAAAAAUUGUUUAAAAAACUAUAAGGCUAUUUAUUGAGAUAGUAAAUUAUAAAUAUUGAUAUAUGCUGCAUGAAAUGAGGUUCAGGCAAAAUUUAAGUGAGUGAUUACAUUACCUCAAACAUAGCUCUUUCUUACAUUAAAGAUCUUUCUUACAUUAAAGAUCUCCCAGCCAAUCAAUCCUUGUGGCUCUGUCCUUUUACCCUUUAAGAACUGCCAUAAAGGAUAAGAGGAAGCCUGAAUUUACUGCUUCAACCUGUAGUGAUUUUCUACCCUAAAUCUUAUAUCCUUUUGGGACUCAUAUCUUUAGCCAUUAAAACAACAACAACAACAACAACAAAAACCUCAGAAUGUCCACUUUUUCAGACGAUUUUAACUAACCAAUAACCUACCAAGAUAUUACAAAAUGGCAGGGACCUACAUUAAACUCCUGUGAUGUUUUGCUGCAUGUGCUGCAAUCCCCUAAUGUAGAUGUAAAAUAAAAACUCAGUAAGGAUUAGUCAAUAGAGUCAGAUUGUCUGAUAAAAUAGACUAUAGUUUUCUUGAUAAUUUGCACAGUGUUUUUAAUGAUUUCAUAAAAUUUUGACUUAGAAAAAAAUAAGGGCUCUACUUACUGAAUUAAACAGAAUCUCAAUUUAAUUGGCUGCCCAUCAGAUGACCUCCUUCUUAGUCUCAUCCUUGUUCCUGUUCUAAUAUGAAAUUCCUGCCAGUAUUUUCUUGAACAUGUUCUUUUUUAUCCUCUGAAAUCUGUAUGCCUCCACCUUUAAACUGGAGAUUUCAAAAAAAGUCUUCCUUUCUCUGUUAUCAUAAGUUUUUAAGAAUUGCAAAGUACCCAGAUUGCCUCUAUAUUAAAGUAAAAUAUAAAUUUCAUGUCAUAGAGCCAUACAAAAAUGACAGUCAUUUAGUUGUUUAGUUGCUCUGGUAGCUUACAAUGCGUUGGUUCUCACUGUAUCUCAAUGAGUUACAUAGGCUUCACUUUUAGUAUACAUGAUUGACUGUGGGGCUUAAUAUUGAAUAAAAUAGCUGCUAUAGAUGCUCAAAAUAGGCAUAAUCAAAGGUUUUUACUCUCUGUGGCAUGUGUCAUGUUAGAACGGAAUUUUCACUGGAAGGUAGUAUGCCCUUGCAGAGAAAUCUUAGUCCCGGGUAAAAAGUGGGAAGAAACACCAAUGGAUCUAUAGCACAUCUCUAGCCAUAAGCAUUUCUCUCCUUUUUUUGGAAUCAGGACAUAAAUUGUCAAUUUAUGUUGUCUAAACUAAUGUAUUCUUCUUUCUCAAUCAUGUAUUCACUUAAAAAAUACACAAGGACAUAAUGACCAGUCUUUUUUCACCCAUUAUGUAAAUGUAGACAUAAUUUUUAUAGGGACAACUGGAAGAUCAUCUUUGUGAGAGACAGAGACAGACCUUGGAGCAAAACCUCAAGAUAAUGUUCCUCCAACAGCACCAUAAAACAGCUAUCUAUCUGACCUACUCACAAAAGAGGUCUUUUACUGCAUCCUUUGCCAAACUGUAUACUCUCACCUAGGUUUUUAAAACUUUCCUGAAAUUGAAUAGCUACGAUUAUAUUUACACUAUUUACCUCACAUUGUUGUUAGAAUCGAAUCAUCCAAUAAGUAGGGAGGUGUUUUAAGAAUAAUGCUAUCCAAAUGUAUUAUAACAAAGGAUGCUCUUAAAUGCCACAUUUUCCAAAAGAAUAGAAAAAUUAAAAAACUUUUAAAACACAGGAAAUACAGCAACUUAUAUAAAACCUUCAGGGAUAUGUAGGAAAUGUAAUGAGGAUACAUCUCUAAGAACAAAACAAAGGUAAGCAAAGCAAACUUAAAAAAAAUAGGGUCAGAUCCACAAAAUAUCUAUGAAACGAUCAUCAGAAAAGAACACUGCUAUAUUUUCCAUCUGUCAUCUCAGACUACCUAUGUCUCCAAUCAGACAUUAGGCUCUGUUUUACAGAUGAACCAAAUUCUACAGUUAGAAUGUUUGCUCCAAACACAGCUGGAUUAAGGAAGUGUCACAAAAUAUUAGAUUAUUUUAGAGCCAAGGGAAGUCUUUCCUCUUUACACAUAGUAUGAGAUUGCCCUAGGCUGGGUGCCAUGGCUCAGGCCUGUAAUCCCAGCACUUUGGGAGGCCAAGACAGGUGGAUCACUUGACGUUAGGAGUUAGAGACCAGCCUGGCCAACGUGGCAUAAUCCCAUCUCUAGUAAAAAUACAAAAAAAGAAAAAAUUAGCUGGGUGUGGUGGUGGGAGCCUGUAACCCCAGCUACUUGGGAGGCUGAGGCACAAGAAUCGCUUGAACCCAGGAGGCAGAGAUUGCAGUGAGCUGAAAUCAUGCCACUGCACUCCAGCCUAGGUGACAGGUGAGACUCUGUCUCAAAAAAAAAAAAAAAAAAAAAUUUGCAUACGGCUAAGCAGUUUUCCCAACACCAUUUAUUAAAUAGGGAAUCCUUUUCAUACUGCUUGUUUUUGUCAGGUUUGUCAAAGAUCAGGUGGUUGUAGCUGUGCUAUCUUAUUUCUGAGAUCUCUAUUCUGUUCCAUUGGUUUAUGUGUCUGUUUUGGUACCAUUACCAUGCUAUUUUGUUUACUGUAGACUUGUAGUAUAGUUUAAAGUCAUGUAGCAUGAGGUCUCCAGCUUUGUUCUUUUUACUUAGGAUUGUCUUAGUUAGACAGGCUCUUUUUUGAUUCCAUAUACAAUUUAAAGUAAUUUUUUCUAAUUCUGUGAAUAAUGUCAAUAGUAGUUUAAUGGGAAUAUCAUUUCUUUGGGCAGUAUGGCCAUUUUCAUGAUAUUGAUUUUUCCUAUCCAUGAGCAUGGAAUAUUUUUCCAUUUGUUUGUGCCCUCUCUUAUUUCCUUGAGCAGUGGUUUGUAGUUCUCCUUGAAAAGGUCGUUCACGUCCCUUGUUAGCUGUAUUCUUAGGUAUUUUAUUCUCUUUGUAGCAAUUGUGAAUGAGAGUUCAUUCAUGAUUUGGCUCUCUGCUUGUCUAUCGUUGGUGUAUAGGAAUGCUUGUGAUUUUUGCACAUUGAUUUUUGUAUCCUGAGACUUUGCUCAAUUUGCUUAUCAGCUUGAGGAGCUUUUGGGCUGAGUAGAUGGGGUUUUCUAGAUGUAGGAUCAUGUUGUCUGCAAACAGAGACCAUUUGAUUCCCUAUUUGAAUACUCUUUAUUUAUUUCUCUUGCCUGAUUGCCCUGGCCAGAACUUCCAAUACUAUGUCGAAUAGGAGUGGAGAAAGAGGGUAUCUUUGUCUUGUGCUGGUUUUCAAAGGGAAUGCUUCCAACCUUUGUCCGUUCAGUGUGAUAUUGUCUGUGGGUUUGUCAUAAAUGGGUCUCAUUAUUUUGAGAUAUAUUCCAUCAAUGCCUAGUUUAUUGAGAGUUUUUAAAAUGAAGGGAUAUUGAAUUUCGUCAAAAGCUUUUUCUGCAUCUAUUGAGAUAAUCAUGUGGCUUUUGUCAUUAGUUCUGUUUAUGUGAUGAAUUACGUUUAUUGAUUUACACAUGUUGAACCAGCCUUGAAUCCCAGGGAUGAAGCCAACUUGGAAAAAAAAAAAAAAAGAUUGCUCUUCUGAUUCACUGAAAUUGAAACAGAAAGAAAGAAAAACACAACUUAUUAGUCAAUAAUUUGAACUCCUCCUCUUAGCAGCAUCUCCUGGUCAGCAUUAUAAUAAUUAUUCAAAAGCAGUGAUUCUGAAUAUGCAAAAGCAGUGAUUCUGCAAAUACUCUCAGAAAUUCUCAGAUCAUUUGAAACAUCUACUAUAAGUUCUCAAAAUAAAUGAGAAAAUAUUACUGUAUUAUUUAAACAAAGUCCAUUUCUUUGUUAUAAACCACUGACUACACCCCAGGAAUACUUCAAGGAAGAAAGGACACAAGAAGAUUUCGGGCCUUUGCCCUCAAGGUUGGAGAAAUUAAGAUGUUUUUGAUUCAGGUUUCAACAAAUCAUCACUCUUCUAUGAAUACGCAACUAAGAAACUUCAACAAAAAUUAUAGUGAAAAAUAAACAUUGGUGUCCCAACUAAGGAACAUACAAACAUCAGGCUAGGCUUUCCAUACAACAGAAGAUCUUCAUCUAACUAAGCCAAGGUGAUGCUCUUGUAGGUCUGCAUAAGUCCUAAGAAAUGACUGUCUGUUUUCCUACUGUCUGUGUGAUUGAUUACACUGGAAAAUAGAACAGGUCUCCAAGGAGAAUGCUGGGUGAGGCUCAAAGAGCUUCAAUGACUUGCCUCAGAAAUGACAGGAUGGACCUUGUGUAACCCAGUGAUGUAUUCAUAAUCGACAGUUGCCAAGUUGAUGCUCCAUUAUUACCUUGAGUUUUGAUGAUCCUUUGAUAUGCCAUGACCCAACAGAGAUAAGGUGUCCUGGGAGUGGAGAAAGGGCAGUUUCAUACAUGUUGUCAGCAUGUCACAUGUUUUUUCAAUAUUUAAGGAAGGAAUCUGGAGAAACAGGAAUCUGGAGUUGAAUUCCUCUAUGGUCAGAUGGUAUCAUGACCUCAUCAUUGGCGUUUCCUCUCCAGGAAUGGAACAUUGAAGAGAGGAAAGAAUCAUAGACUUUGUUUGUAUCCUGCCAACCCUCAACAGAACAGACUGCAAUAGGGGAGGAAUGGACGUAACCACUAACAGUAAAUAACUCUUCUCCAGGAAGCAUUUCCAAAGAAGUCCAUCACACCUUUGUUCUUGGCAAACAUCCUCACUUUUCUGGUUUGCUUUGAAAAGCAACAGGCAGCAUGUACACAACAAACGUCACCCAGGAAAUAGGCAAGCAGUAAGUGUCAUGGAUUCCUCUAUUUGCUCAGUUCUUACAGAAAAUCUUAUACAUGGACUAGCAAACUGCACAAGGACAUUAUUUGUCUUGCCCAAACCCUGCAGUUGGUGUUGUCUUUCUUCUCCUGGUGCAGGCCGAUGUCCUAGUCCACCCAUACAGCUUUUUCUCCUCCAUGAGUCCUGUUCUGUUUCUACUAGUACUUCCUGAGCCAUAUUGUGUCCCUUACUACUGGUGAGCUCUAGCUAAAUUAUGGAUCCCAUGACAACAACAUGGGCUAACUACAGCCUUUUUACAUAUUUAAAGACAGAGUCUAAGGAAGAACAAAAACAACUUUUUACAAUGAGAUUCAUAACUAAAGAUGCAUUUCAAUGACUUCUCCUGCCUCUACCACCACAAAUACGGCAGAUUUAGUGCCUUAGUUACAUCAUAAUUGCUCAGGAAAAAGCAGACUGACAUUUCAACUGCUUGUUAGCUACAACUAUAGAGACUUGAACUUUGUUUUUCUAUAUAAAGGGCUACAUUCACUAUCUGUUUUAAUUCUCAAUUUAAUUUGAGCUGGAAUCACAUAUGAUGUCAAAUAAAGAAGGUCAGGUGUGGUGGCUCACGCCUAUAAUCCCAGCACUUUGGGAGUCUGAGGUGGGUGAAUCACCUGAGAUCAGGUGUUCGAGACAAGCCUGGGCAACAUGGUGAAACCCUGUCUCUACUAAAAGUACAAAAAUUAGAUGGGUGUGGUGGCUCAUGCCUGCAGUCCCAGCUACUCAGAAGGCUAAGACAGGAGAAUUGCUCAAACCUGGAAGGUGGAGGUUGCAGUGAGCCAAGAUCGUGCCACUGUACUCCAGCCUGGGCAACAGAGCAAGACUCUGUCUCACAAAAAAAAAAAAAAAAAAAAAAAAGCAAAAAUGAUCCAGGAAGAGCAACAAAGAAUUUGAUUUAUAGUCCUGGGUUUAAUUUCCCAGUAAAAUAGUACAAGCUAUUUUAUGAUGGCAUACUUGGAAAGCCAUGAACCUAGACACAGGUACACUGUAUAAACUCAGUGUGACCUUGCCAAAAGACGCCAAAAUGGAAAGUAAAGAGGUUCGGACUAGUGAACCUCACUUGUACAAGAGAUGAGAAUAGCCAAAUACAUAGGAUCUAACAAAUAAACUAGAAUUAGAGAAUCUUGUUUGAAAAGAAAAUAAAUCUUGGGGCCCCAAAAUCACUAAGCUAAAGGGAAAAUCAAGCUAGGAACUGUUUAGGGCAAACCUGCCUCAUAUUCUAUACAAAGUCGCCCCUCUGCUCACUGAGAUAAAUGCAUAUCUGAUUGCCUUCUUUGGAGAGGCUAAUCAGAAACUCAAAAUAAUGCAACCAUUUGUCUCUUUUCUACCGAUGACCUGGAAGCCCCCUCCCCACUUCAAGUUGUCCCUCCUUUGCUUCAAGAUGGAACCAAUGUUCAUAUUACAUAUGUUGAUUGAUGUCUCAUGUCUCCCGAAAAUGUAUAAAAUCAAACUGUGCUCUGACCACCUAGGGGAAAUGUCGUCAGGACCUUCUGAGGCUGUGUCAUGUGUGCAUGUCCUCACUUUGUCAAAAUAAACUUUCUAAAUUAACUGAGACCUCCCUCAGAUAUUUGGGGUUCACACCAGCUUUUCUUUGUUCUGACUUUUAACUGUAUUGUUUUUGGGCAGGGCAAUUUAUACAUUUCCUAUGGGGUCUCCAUACUACUGUAUUUCUUGUAGUAUGGUUAAAGGUACUUGAAAUAACUUCAACAUGGAAAAUGGAAUCUUGACACCUAUGAGUAAAAUAAAUGCAGGCACCUUUUGUCUGUGAGUUUCAAUGAGCAGAUGAGAAGGGAUUCUCUAGCCCAUGGAGAAUAAGGGUUAGAGUAUCAGCCUAUGAGAGUCAAGUGGGGAGUCAAGAACUUUGUGUUUCCAGGUGGCCAGCAACACUUCCCCUUUCUCCUCUUCUCCAAAGGAGUUUUGGGUUAGUCUUACCUGGUUAGGAGAGGGAUAGCAAUUUUGUCAAGCAGUUCUGAUAGCUGUAAUAGCAAAAGGACAGAAUACGGUGAUUACCUAUUACCUCAGGUUGCCCUGGAGAGGAGAUUCAAGGACUGUCUCUUUUAUGAAUCAUAUUUGAGUAGCUCUGGGUAUUAUUGAGAAUGGCCUUGCAUUAACUACUCAAGGGACUUAUGUAUAAGUAACAACCAACCACUUUAAUGAUAGCAUCUUGAACAGGUGACACUCUUACAUUUUAAAUACGUUUUGCACUUAAUCUAAACUGAUUAUAAAAUCACAUCAUUAUGUUUAUAUAUUUAGGCUACAGAUUUCAGCUCAUUUCAGAAAUAAUCGGGUUAAAAAGAGAGAACUUUUGAUAGAAGUGAAAAAGGACAUUUUGGGGUGUGGUUCUCAUGCACCUAAAGGCGAUUUUGGGGAGAUCAUCCUACCAAAAUGGAAAUUUGGAAAAGGAAAGAAGAAAGCUCACAUAUUAAUAUUUUGAAACAUUAGUAUUGUACAGAUUUCCAAGGGCAGAGAAUAUGAUUUGUCUGCAUACCUCUAGAUGGAAAGUUCAAUACUCAAUAGAAGUAAUUAAAUAACUGGAAUCACAAAUAAAGGAAGACGACACUCACGCCAUGGAAGGAGAUUUUCCUUUCUUUCUUGGCCUUCCUACUUUAACUUCUGCCUUCCCUUUGUACAACGGAAAAUCUCUCAUCCCGUACCCUUCCAUCCUACCCCAGACCUAAAUGUGCCUUACCUUUUGAGAAGAUCUGUCAGAGGUGUUCUAUUCAAGAACAACUCCAUCUUGAAUAGAAGCUGGGCAACAUAAUGCUGAGACCUACUGGGUUGCAUUCCCAGAUGGUUAAGGCAUUCUAAGUCACAGGAUGAGAUAGGAGGUUGGCACAAGAUACAGGUCAUAAAGACCUUGCUGAUAAAACAUUGCGGUAAAGAAGCUGGCUAAAACCCCCAAAACCAAGGUGACCAUGAGAGUGACCUCUGGCUGUCCUCACUGCUACAUUCCCAUCAGUGCCAUGAUAGUUUACAAAUGCCAUGGCAAGGUCAGGAAGUUAUGCUAGAUGGUCUAAAAGGGGAGGUAUGACUAACCCACCCCUUGUUUAACAUAUCAUCAAGAAAUAACCAUAAAAAUGCGCAACCAGCAGUUCUUGGGGCUGCUCUGUCUAUAGAAUAGCCAUUCUUUUAUUUAUUUACUUUCCUAAUAAACUUGCUGUCACUUUAUGGACUCAUCUUGAAUUCUUUCUUGUGCGAGAUCCAGGAACCCUCUCUUGGGGUCUGGAUUGGAACCUCUUUCCCAUAACAGUUCCAGAACCUGCAAGGUAAGGAUGAGGUCGCAUAAAAGCUUCGGAAGUUGGAAGUUGGAGAAAUUUGGCUUUGAAUCUUGUUUUAAAGAUAGGGGCUCGCAAAUAGAAAACUAAGUCAGAAAGGAGGCAAAUGCAAGAUCAUUCACAGGAGAACUUCCUAUGUGAAAUCAAAAGACAACAAAUGAUGUUGGGUAGGAGCAAGAAUCCAAGUGACCAGAGGGACAAAAUGUGACUUGGGGUGGUUGUGAGAAAAAAAAAUCUGUUCAACAAGAAUAUAGACUCAGAGAGAGAGGGGGAUACACUUUCUUCUGUGAAGAUGAAAUGUGUAAGCAGAGGGUAGAGGCUAAUGGGAAAAGACAUCUUCCUGGGAUGCUUGUCUCUGUACUCUUCAAGGGUUAUCUUGCUCUGGGCAUUUAUAAUGGCUUUUCUCCAUUUUCUCCAGUGAAGUCCAGUUUUCUAAUCAACUCUCAUGUCAAUCCUAUAUCUUUUUCAUCUGCCUUAAGGAUUCCUUGCAUGUGCGAGCAGGAAAGUCUUUGAGAUUCUUUAACACAGUCAACUAACAAAUGGGAAAACUAAGGAUCUGGUCAAAUAAGUGACUUAUUGUCACUAGAAACAGUUGUGGCAAACAUUUUUAACAAAUCCAAAUUUUCUUAGUCUUAUUCCAGUUUUCUUUUUAGCGUGCCAGGCUGCUUCCAGUUAUUUCAUUUCUCCUCCUUCUGAGAACUCUGUGUGUGUGCACAUGUGCAUUUGUAUAUGUUGGUCUCUUAUGUAUAUGUUAAUAAGGAUGGUUAUCUAAGGGACAAAAUUACUCAGUAAGAUAUGAAAAGGCUUCUAAGAUAUAUUUUGAAGGUUAAUAUAACUGCCAAAUGUGUUCAAAUGGAUUUUAAUUUACUCUUUAACAAUUUAUUUGCCUCUGUCUGUCCCCUUGGAGCAAUGCCAUCAAAUAGAAAUAUAAUGAGAGUCACAAAUACAAGUUGCGUAUGUAAUUUUAAAUUUUCAAGUAGUUACAUUUAAAAAGCAAGAUGAGCAAAAUUAAUUUUAAUAAUGUUUUUCUUAGCUUAAUAUACCCAAAAUAUUAUCAUUUUAACCUGUAUUCUAUAAAGAAGUUAUUAUGCGAGUUUUAUAUUUUCUCACAAUGAGUCUUCAAAGCUGGUGUGUAUUUUACAUUUUUAGCUCAUCUAAAUUUAGAAUAGCCACAUUUAAGGUGUUCAACAGCCAUAUCUGGUUAGUAGCUACCCUAUCAGGCCUUAGAGUAUAAUUGUUUAGGCACAGCCCUUAUUCAGUCACAAAAAUCGUAGCCAUUGCCCAUUUAAUAGCUAUUAUUUUGGUACCAGA